AGGGAAAUGUCACCCGGAGCCCGGGCCCGCGGGGGAGAGGUGGCGCGUUAGAGAUGUGUGUGGGAGAGAGGGAGCGAGAGAGAGAGAGAGAGAGGGGGAGCGAGACCUCCGCUGGCCCCGCGAACUUGUCAAGUACAAAACACCAAGCUUUUGGGCUCAAAAAGCCUAGACCAUCAUGGCUACGAAAAUAACUGCUGCUCAGAGAGUAUGUAAUUCUGGAGCUCCUUAAGGAAAAAAAGCAGUGCGAUGCAACAUCAGAACAGUGGCUAAGUGAUCUUCUCCACAGCAGCCGUGAACUUCAACCUUGAACCGAAGAAGACCCAUCAAAUGCCUUAAGAAAGACAGUAUGGAGGUGGAAGAGAAGCAUGGAUCUCCAUGAAGGGCAGUCAGUUAUAGUCAUGGUCAGCAUGCUUGGUUGAUCUGCCAGUCUACACAUGUAGCUCAGACCUGGCCACAGUGUGAGCUGCCUCCUGUUCUCCUAAACGUCAGAAGCUGAAAUUCAGAGAAAUCUGUUUAGAAGGGAAUGGGAAAACAGCCAGGCUAGCUUCGGCACAAGAGUGUUGGUGGCACCUGUAAGCAUGCAGGUGUGUGGAGGAACAGGUCCUGUUCUCGCUGUUGUUACUCCCACAUAGGCAGACUCUGUAAUUGAUUAUGUGUGGGUAGGGCCCUAUUGAAAUUCAGGAGAUUCUGCAGUAGUGCGGGGUUCUUUUUGUGAAAGUUCAGUUGCAAGAUCAGGACCCUACUGUGACUCCUUACUGUGCAUUCUGUCACUGUCUCAUUGAUUGUACUGGAACCUGCUUAUUGAGAUAAUUACCAAAUACUAUAUUCCUCAAAACUUCUUAAUGGCACUGAGGCUUUGUGGAUAGUUGGUCACAUGAUGAGAAAAUUCAGCUGUAAUUCACCAUGGGACCCUGAAGUUAUUCCCUACUGCAAUUAGGCUCAUCAGGACUACUUCUACCUGAUACCUCUUCUUCAGUAUCAAGAGGUUGACUCUGGUUUUGAUCAACGUAUGAUGCCAACUUCCAUCAUUUGGUCAUUAAAGUUUCAGACCACACUGAAUAUUUUCUCCUCAGCUGUAUGGUUGACUUCUUCAUAAACAGAAGUGUUCAUUAUCUUCCCUCUAUUUUUUUCUUGAAAGUUUUACGUACUGUGAAGCUUUAAGAAAUCCAACUAGACAACAGUUAUGCUGCAGGUGUAUUAAUGCCAAUGCCUAUCACAGUAAUACUGUGUCAUUGCAUUUGGAUUCUGCCAUAAUCCCUCUGUUGUCUCUUUAUGUAAAAUUUAAGCAUAUCUAUAUUUUGUUGUGUAUUUAUUAAUGGCCCAGUGUAACACAAAGUGGCCCAUGGUGAGACCUUCCAAGAUUUAUGGUAGUACAGAUAAAUAACAAUGAAUACACACUGGCUGUUGCAGCAUAGCUGUUGGAGUCUGUUGUGCCUAAUGCCACUUCAUAAUUUAAUGCAGAAAGAAGGUGCUCCAACCAGAGGCCUCACAAACGGAAAAUAAGUUAGUUGCACCCAAUAGAAAAAAUGCUAGCCCCAGAGACCUUGUCAGCUGUCAAACUCAAGCCUGUAGCUAUUGCCAUUUUGUCCUGAAAGCAUUCCUCUCCUCUCCUCUCCUCUCCUCUCCUCUCCUCUCCUCUCCUCUCCUCUCCUCUCCUCGAACAGAUUCUCCCUUCUCAUAUGAGGAAGUAAAUGCAAGUAUCACAAAGGUCUGCAGUGUGUGCAGAAGGUCUUAUACAUUUGUAGCAGACCUCAUGUAUUUAAUUCCUGACACAGCAUCUCUUGGUACAGAAAUCUUGAAUAACCAUAACUGUGCCAUUCGUCACUCCUUUUUUUCAAAUGCCAUUUGAUCUCUGUUGGGAAGGAACCUACACUGGUUUUUAUUUGGUAUCUUGGCACAUCCCUAUCUCAUAAUGCUCUGCUUCCAUUGUGCUUCAAAAGUAGAGUCUUCAGAAAAGUGGUAAGGAUUAAUUCAAUUGGGAAUUCCCCAGGUAUGUCACCCUCUUUCUGUAAGUGGGUCUGCAUGUAACCCUUUCUUUUAAAGGCACACUGAAAUGUCAGUGUUUAGAUUGUACAGAGCUGAUGGAAUGUUGAGUGCCUGACUGAUUGCAGAGAUGGUAGAUUGGACUGUGCAGACAAAUGUUGCAGUAGGUACCAAAGAAAAUAUAGUCCAAUAAUCUAAUUUUAUCAGAAUAAACCACAAAAUGUAGUUCUAUAUGGUUCUAUGGCUGAGUAGGAGAACUUUAGUAAGAGCUGUGGGCUAGUUGGUGAGGUGGAGGUGAAAUACUGUGGGAGGCUGGGGAGUCUGUACAACCCAAAAGCUUGAUCAUAGCAACAGUUCUUGGUUAUAUAUGUGUAGACUGGAUAAACUUAAUGUUAGGCCUCAUUAGGCUGUCAUGCACAGGCUGUGUAUUUAGAUAUCACUGAGCAGUAAUUAUUGAACAAACAAGAUAGGGAAUCCAGAGCCCUUGACUUAGUCUAGAUCAACAUGCAACAAAUGACUGUGGAAGAACCAUUCACUAGUGAGAUAUCAUACUCAAGUGUGUCGUACUUGUGGGAGAAAAAAAGAUUAAAAUAAAAAAUUUUAAAAGUCCAGUAUUGUUUAAAAAAAGAAUUGUACACUAAUGAAGACACACUUUAAAUAAAUAUUAAAAAUACAUGGGGGCUUUGUUUUCUGGUUCUAACCCGAUUAAAUAAGACUUUUCCAACACAGUUCAGCAGUAAAAGAAGCUACUAGAAAUAAAUAGAGGUUUUUAAAAAAGCAAAAUCCAAGCAAGCAAAGCAGAAAAGAGCACAAUUCUGGCAAGUGUAGACCUAGUAUGAGGCAGAAGAAAAAGAUUUUUAAAUGCAAUGGCCUAAAAUUCUAAAAGCCAAACCCCAUCUUUUUCCAGUGUAAAUUUUGCUAGAUGAGAGGUGAGGUUAGUAGAUAGUUGUGGUUAAGGAGAAAGACAAAGCCAUUACAGAAAGAAAUUGAACUCAUUUCUGCUGGCAAGGUUUAUGACAGGAUGAUUAGGGACAUCCCCAAAUAGGAGUUGUUUUUAUAGGGAGUAGUUCAGAAUUGAUAUCUCAAUACAAGGUUUUUAAACAAAUUGAUUGAGUACACAUUAAUAAAUUGCCCAAUAACAUGCUGUUCAUUCAGUAGUCCUAGAAAAAUUCAGAAAUUAAAUUGAGCAUGGUGAGCAAACCAUGAACUGUCUUGUGUAAUCUGGUACUUAAAUUAGCCUUGAUAACAGAGGAAUGGAAAGUAACAAAUGUGACCCUAGUUUUGAAAAGGGUUUUAGGGAUGGUCAUGGACUAAUGGACUAAAAAGUCAGGCCAUCAUGACAGACAAAAUGGCAGUGAUUGUGAUAAAGUGUACUGUUUAUAGGAUGAAUGGUGAACAUGGAUAGGUGUGAUAGCAACCAUCAUGCCUUUUGUACAAGUAGUUUUGUCUUAGAGUUUUUCUAGUUAUUUGAAAGAGUCAUUUCCAGAUGCACAGGAAAAAGUGACCCAAAAGUUUUUUAAAAGUUCUGUAACUGAAGACUGUUAACAAAAUGAAGUAGGGAGUCACUUAAAAUUCUUUGUAGAUUAGUCAAGGGUUAGAAGAUAAGGAACAGUACAGAACUAAUGGGGAGUUUUAACACUACCUCCUCAUGGAGAUUUGUACUGGCACCUUUGCUGGUCCACCUGUUCCUAAACAGCCUGGAAAAGUGCAAUUGUAAAUAUUGCAGAUGGUAAAAGGAAAAUAUUCACGGUUGGAGGCAGACCUAAUGUUGACCCUGAAGAGCUGCAGAAGGAUCUCACAGCAGGACCUGUGGUGAUCCAGGAGCUGUGGCUGUCACAGUGGCCAGAUAUCGCUGACCCCACUGUUCAGCUGAAUCCAUCAUCAGAGAGUGGCAGUGGCUGUUGGAUUACAGCAGCCAUCAGCCCAUAAACCGUGAGCUCAGCAGGCUGUGACCAGUCCUGCCACUCAGGAAGGCAGGGACUUGUAGCUGUUCUUUUUAACAGCAGGGGCUGCAAAAUGGAGAGAAGGUUCUUUCUCCCUGUUUUCUCAGAGUUUCAUAACCCCAGUGAGCUUAAAGUAUGUGUUUUGAACUUGGAGUUCCUGCCUGCUACAAGGUUGAAAUAUUACUGUUAAAGUGAUAGGUAAUGUCUUGCUGCUGCUCUGAGAAGCCAGGGCUCUCAAGCCACUUUACUGGUGUUUGCAUGGAUUUUUAGCAGCUUCUGUUAAUUUCUUAAAAUCAUUCUGGAUCUGUAAAUAAGUUUAUUGUCCUCAUUGAUUGAUGAUAAAUUUUUAAACAUUAAUCAAGUGCAUACAGUUCCCAUUUACUUAAAUCUGUAGAUGUUUUUUUAUUGUUCCUUUUUCUAGCAGUAGCAAUAUUAUGGAUGUGCAGCUCAGUUUUACUUCUACUGUUCACAAACCUGUGGGCAAUGGCAAAUGCCAGUUUGCUGCUGCUUCAGAAGCUAAAAGCAGGCCCUAAAAUGAAUCCCAUGGGAAAUCAGAUAAAGAAGCAGAAAUAUUUCAUGCAGCAACCAGAAGGUCUGGAGGGAGGGAUGGAGCAGAAGAUAUCAUUGUACCUUUGCAACAGCUGGAAUGGUUUCCAAGCUGUUGUCUGCAAAUCCCUAGUGGACUCCAAGGCUAUGGUGAAUUGAACAUCUGUUUGGCUAAACCAUAACUGUGCUUUAAAUAGUGUUUCCAAUUAAAAGUUUGAUCAGAUGGGUGUGUGGUGGCUUUUGAAAAUUGCUGAGGACUGAUAGUGAUCUGUUGCUCAAAACAAAGUGGGAACUGAUGUUCUGGAGUGUAUGAAAAAUUAGAGAGCACUCCCUACCUUCUCAGUUUUAGGUACAUGGCAUUCUCACAAGAAGCAACAGCAAGAGGUGCCCUUUCUGGUGCCCAUCACACCUUCCCCAGUAACAGAAGUAUGGGGUUCUGAAUCAUCGUAUUGUCCUUGAGUAUCCCUGAAAUUCUUCACUAGUCCUACUUUUCAUAUGUAUUCCCAAACAGUAGGUUUCAU